AGGAGAAAGAGAAGACCGUCUUCCAGAGGCACUGGAUGUGCUAAGUGCUUAGAUGUACAUGUGGUAUAACUUAGCAUUCAUGACAUUAAUUUCUACAGUUUUCUGCCAGUGACUAUCUGUCACAUGUAGUAAGGCUGUGUCACCAUGCCCAGCUAAUUUUUGUAAUUUUUGUCUUUUUUGUAGAGACAGGGUUUCACCAUUUGCCCAGGCUGGUCUCGAACUCCUGGGUUCAAGCGAUCCACUCACCUUGGCCUCCCAAAGUGCUGGGAUUACAGGCGUGAGCCAUCACACUCCUUCGUUUUUUGCAUUGUUAUUCCUCACAAUUGUUUCUUUUUCUCUUGGUCUUUCUCAGUUUAGUGCACAGUAAACUUUUCCUCAAACUUUGCAAAAAGCAGGGCACCCACCAGGCUGCAUCUCCUCAUGGGGGCCGGGGUGGGGGUAAGUUUUUGCCCUUGUCCCUUGUCUUUUCUCCAUGUCUCAGGAGCAGCCACCUUCCAAGGGGCCUCCACUUGACCUCUCUGGCUUCUCCAGGUAUCCCCCAAACCUCUACAGCAAAAUGAGCUCAUCUCUGUGUUUUGAACUGGAAAAGAACAAUUAUUCCUUGCCUUCCUUAUUCUUCCUCUGACUCCAAACAACCAGAAGAAACCCAUACAAUUUUUAAAAAACAAAUAACAAUCUGCAUAAACAAGGUAUAACAGCAACUGAAAUGUCAACAUCUUAGAACUUUCAGUGCAUGAUCUGCCAGUCUGGGAAAUCCACAUGAUGUAAUACUAGGUCUAUGCUGCAAUUUCUACCCAGUGAAGAGCCGUUUGGGGUAGGCACAAAAUAAAAGUUGCCAUUUUAACAAAAAGUAAAGGGCUUGUAUGUAUAUGUAGAAGUCUGCAUAUGACACUUCGAAAUGUGGGUUAUAGUGGUGGUCAGUUUCAUUCUGCAGAGUAUGUGGAAAGAGAGUAAGAUUUCCUAUAACUCAGCAUUACAUGGAACUCUGCAGUAGCCAGAGACUAGCUAUAAAGAUGCUUUAUGUAGCAUCUGGUGUGUCUCUGCCAUUUGUGGAAAUGUUGAGAUACUCCCUUAUAGCUUGGUAGGUAGGUACUGUCCUGAGCCUGAACAUUUCCAUCAUUCUAACACUGUAGCCCCCUCCACAGGACCUUACUCUGAAUUCCCUGAAGACCCAGAAUCUAAAGAAAGUACAUCCAGAUUAACAAGGGGCACUCAGAAUAGGGCUUCAGCUCCAUGGCCUAUGUCCCAUUGUUGCCUGAGCUAUACUGAUUGUAAAAUAUAUUUGAAAGUUAUCCUGAAAAUAAUUAUUCCAAUGCAGUUGGCUUGACCAAACUACAUACAGAAGAUACAAAAGGGUUAGAAGAAAAAGAAGCAAAGUUAUUUCAGAUGAAACUGGGAUCAUUUCCCAAAGUAAUAGCUCUCACCAUUUCCCAUCCUUAAGGAAAGAUGAUGAGGUAAUUCCAGGGCCAGAUUGCAUAUUAUUUGGCGUCUUUUAAUAAUAAAUGAUACUACAGAUAUACACAGAUGUAGGUAAAAAUACACAUAUUUUUGAUAAGUGAAAUGUAAACAGAAUUUGUAUAAAUCAAAUUAUGUUUUUAAUGUAA
rnacentral:lncRNA from 1 species